rnacentral:lncRNA from 1 species
AAAGGCAUCGAGUGGUAGUUAGCUUUUUCAAAAAAAAAAAAAAAAAGUUUAGUCCAAAAGAGUAGAAGUGAUAUAAGACAAUAGCUAACAGAGAUUUUAGGGUCAAAUGAGAGGUAUUAAAGAUUGGAGAAUAUAUGAAUAUAUUUGUAGACAACAGGGAGGGAAACAUUAUAUAAGAAGAUAGGGAAAGUUUACAGAGAAUGAAGAUGAUAGAGCAGUAAUUUGAGAAAAAACUGGAGAGUUUACAUCAAUCAUACAUAUAGGAUGAAUCAAGGCUGCUUGAUCUUCACAAGAGAAGUCCCUUCUAAAGAAACAAGAUUAAAGGAGAUAAUGAGGGGAAUACAUGUGAGGGGGGGAUGAGGUGUGACAUUGGGGAGAAAAGGGAUCUCUCAGAGGAUGGCCCCAAUAUUUCUAAUGAAGUAUAAUCAAGGUUCACUGAUGAAAUGAUAGGAAAGAUUGUUCCCAAGCAGGAUUGAGGAAAAACAAGAAAAUCUGCAAUAGCUGUUAUUGCAAGGAGAUAGCAAAUUGAUUACUAUGGAGUACAAAGUGCUUAUUACUAUGAUAGAGGCUCAGAUGAGAUUCUAUAGCAUAGAUUUAUAGUGAACCCAAACAGCACUUUCAUGUGUUCCUCCAGCUCCAUCACUAUAUGUUUUUUUCAUCAGUAUAUGUUUAAGAACAAAGGAGUGUAAUGGCAGGUGUGACCCAGGGUUGAGUUUGCUAAGGUCAAGGGGUAAGGGAUUCAAGAGUAGAGAUACUCUAGGGUUGAAUUGGUAUAUGAAGAGAUUGAGAUUAGAAAGAGAGGAGAAUAUAGCCAGUGAAGAAUAUUGAUCCAGGAAAGAAUGGAGGAGAAGAGAGUAUGAAGUUCACAGGGUUACAAAUUGUUAGGAUCUUGUAUAUCAACAUCACAGUGAGCAACACAGAUGAAUGAUGGAAUGGGAAGACUGAAAGACACAAGUAGAGAAGUUAAAAUGUGCAAGAACGACCCCUUUUCCUUCAAGACUAGAGCAAAGGAAGAAAGGAUAAGGAACAAUAUUAAGAUUUGGAGCACAGAACUAGAAAAAAGGAAAGAAUAAAGGAAAGCUAAAAUGAUCUCAGGUAUUUUUUUCAAAGAAGUAUUUGGUCUUCCUAAGAACAGGGAAGAAUUGGGUAGAUGAACUGAAAAGAGAGGUGAUUGUUUUAAGAUUCUAGUUAAUGGAUGAGUAGAUUUUGAUCUAGAGUGGUGACAAUGGAAAUGGAGAAAUCAAAAUAGAUAAUGACAUUUAAAAAUUCACUAUGUAUAAAGGAAGUGGGAGAAGA